UUCGUGACUAGGAUUCCUGUAACGACAAUGCGACGUGCCUCAUUUCUUUGACUUCGUAACGCAACAAAUUGUGUAACACGUUACAUAUGCACAUAUCGUCCGUGAUGUAAAACAGUAGAUAUCUGCGUGUACAUCUCAAGACUCUUACAUUCCAACAGAAGUCACAAGAUGCCAGAUGCAUCAAGGAAAUGGCAGUGGUCAUCGAGAAAUUUUGCGAAAUUUUGCAUAGAACCUGCAAUUGUGGACUUUUUUCUGUGAAUCGAGCAGUCAACCGCGAUUUCUCUUUUCAAGAGGGAUCAAGGAUAACCGAAGGCAACGAUCAUCGAUAGGAAAUAAUAACCACACGUGUGUUUAAUGUUUUACGAUAAGAUCCAGACCUAGCAACAGAGGUGAAUAAAAAAAUUGUGGUCCAAGCAUAAAAAGAAUGAGGAAAGAGAAUGUUUCGAAGACGGAAACGAAAAGGAAAUUUCACUGCGGCCGAGAUGAACGUGUUAAUUGGUUUGUCUGAUUUACUUUCCUGGCCUGUCUGGUUGUGACUUUUAAAAAAGUCGUAGCUUUAAAAAAAGUUUUGCGAGAAAGGCUGUCGAGAUUAUGAUAAAGUGAAAAUAUUUCGCGAUGUUGAAAUCGUUGAAAAUGUAAAACAACAGGAAUAUUUUUUUCACUUUGAAUAUGGAAGAACCUUAAUAACAAAGACUAAAGAAAUUCUUCAGAAAAAUC